rnacentral:rRNA from 1 species
GAUGAACGCUGGCGGCGUGCUUAACACAUGCAAGUCGAACGGGAUCCACCGGGCUUUGCUUGGUGGUGAGAGUGGCGAACGGGUGAGUAAUGCGUGACCGACCUGCCCCAUACACCGGAAUAGCUCCUGGAAACGGGUGGUAAUGCCGGAUGCUCCAGUUGAUCGCAUGGUCUUCUGGGAAAGCUUUCGCGGUAUGGGAUGGGGUCGCGUCCUAUCAGCUUGACGGCGGGGUAACGGCCCACCGUGGCUUCGACGGGUAGCCGGCCUGAGAGGGCGACCGGCCACAUUGGGACUGAGAUACGGCCCAGACUCCUACGGGAGGCAGCAGUGGGGAAUAUUGCACAAUGGGCGCAAGCCUGAUGCAGCGACGCCGCGUGAGGGAUGGAGGCCUUCGGGUUGUAAACCUCCUUUAUCGGGGAGCAAGCGAGAGUGAGU